CUCUCUCUCUCUCCGACAAACCCCAACGAAAACCUAAUUGGAUCUGGGAAAUAGCGAAGGCCUUCAUUGAGACCACUCUGAGCUCGCCGUUGACCUCUACACCCAGGCCAUCGCCGUCGAUCCCAACAACUCUGAGUUCUACCGCUCAGGCCAACAUCAAAUCCAACAAUCUCACCGGUAACAACCCCCUCUCUCUUGCAAUUUCUGACGCCAGUUCUUCGUCGUCUUCUUGUUUCGUUCCUGAGACCUAAAAAUUGAAGGAAUUCAAUUGUGUUUUUUGUGUGAACUGAUUGGUUUGGGGUUUUCUUGUUCAGAGGCUGUAGAAAACCUAAUGAGUAGACCUCUAGUGUUCUUCAGAUCUUUCGACAGUGGCGUGUUGCUUUCGGCGGAUUUGAAAUUCAGCUAUGGGUAACCACGAUUUGAAUUUGAAAAUUGGAGCUGUGGAUUUGGGAUUGAAGGCAAAAAUGUCAAUAUUGGGGCUAAGAAGAUAAUUAAGAAGGUUUCUGGGUAAGUUUUGAUUCAAAGUUUUAGUCUUUUGAUUAUGGGUAACUAAGUUUUGAUUCAAAUGUCAAAAUUGUUAGGUACAGGACAAUUGAUGAUCCAAAGCUAAAUGUAGAAGUUUAGAAGAAAUAUCAGGCUCGAUCUCGAGUCCUUGAAGCAUUAAAUGCAAAGAGGGUGAGUUGAAGUUCUUUGUUUUGAAUUUGGCUGCGUCGUUAACAAUGUCGAUUGAGCUCAAGCUUUCCCGGAUUAAUCGAGUUUAUGGUCCUUCUGAACUGGUUGAGGGCAAGAUCAUAGUGAAGUCUGCGUCUUCAAUCUCGCACUAUGGAAUUCGCAUCGCGGUUGAUGGAUCUGUCAAGUUGCAGGUUCGAAUUUCACCGUCCGUGUUAUAAAAUGAAACGUGGUUUAACUUGAGAAACUGGGUAAAGGUGGUGUGGUGAAUUAUAGGUUUCUUAUUAUUAUUUUUUUUUUUUGCUGUUGUGAACGUUCGGGGAGGGACGGCCGGAGUUAUAGAGACUUUGGUUGGUGCUGCCAAGCCUAUUUCAAUUCUGUGAGUGACAUCUUUCUUAGCUUUUGGAGACAUUACAUCUUUUAGUAGUAUGCUUUGUUUUUAAUUAUGUAUGUAUAGAUAGGGAAAAAUGGAGUGAAGUUAAAUGUGUUUCUGGUGUGUUACUCUCCUUUUUUGGCUAAUACGGAAGCGCUCUGCAACCAAUUUGUUCUUCUCACUUGAAAGCAGGAACAAAAUUGUUAAGCUUAGACCUGCUGGAAAGAUUGCUUCAGGCAUAACCGAGAUACUGUUUUCUAUGCAUAUCAGGCAACCAAGAAAAGAUAACCUCGAAAAGUUCUAUGAGACAUUCCAUGGAGGAAAUAUUAACAUUCAGGUGCAUCUUUCUGCCUUGGAAAGUACACAUGUUCAGUAGUUAACCCUAUUCUUGCUUGUUACCAGUUUUCUGAAAUUUUCUCAAACUUGCAGCUUAUUGUUGCAAGCAACUGAUUUGAGAACCAUUACACUUAUUUUUCUGUCCUCGAUCUUCAGUGAUUCAGAUUAGACAAGCAAAGCAUGCCCUGAAACUUGAAACUUGUCUCUCUAUUUGUUUUAUCUGGUUUGAUACCAUUUGCAUUUUUAGUUAGAGUGUUUUUUAUAAUCUUAGUUUUUAGAGCAAGGAGAAGGUCAAAGUCGACCAAUUAUUCUAAUGCUUAAGGGAGAACUCUGUCCUCUCCAGUUUGAUUAUAUUGAGAAAAGUAAGAAAAGUAUUGAGAUUACUAUGUAUCUUCUAUGUGCUAAGAUUAGAGUUUAUUCAUAAUCUAUCUUGAUGGUUUUUGCUAAGAUAGAC